rnacentral:rRNA from 1 species
AACGAACGCUGGCGGCAGGCUUAACACAUGCAAGUCGAGCGCCCCGCAAGGGGAGCGGCAAACGGGUGAGUAACGCGUGGGAAUCUACCCAUCUCUACGGAAUAGCGCAUGGAAACGUGUGCUAAUACCGUAUACGUCCUUCGGGAGAAAGAUUUAUCGGAGAUGGAUGAGCCCGCGUUGGAUUAGCUAGUUGGUGGGGUAAAGGCCUACCAAGGCGACGAUCCAUAGCUGGUCUGAGAGGCUGAUCAGCCACACUGGGACUGAGACACGGCCCAGACUCCUACGGGAGGCAGCAGUGGGGAAUAUUGGACAAUGGGCGCAAGCCUGAUCCAGCCAUGCGGCGUGAGUGAUGAAGGCCCUAGGGUUGUAAAGCUCUUUCACCGGUGAAGAUAAUGACGGUAACCGGAGAAGAAGCCCCGGCUAACUUCGUGCCAGCAGCCGCCGUAACAC